AGUGAACGCUGGCGGUAGGCCUAACACAUGCAAGUCGAACGGCAGCACAGUAAGAGCUUGCUCUUACGGGUGGCGAGUGGCGGACGGGUGAGGAAUACAUCGGAAUCUACUUUUUCGUGGGGGAUAACGUAGGGAAACUUACGCUAAUACCGCAUACGACCUACGGGUGAAAGCAGGGGAUCUUCGGACCUUGCGCGAUUGAAUGAGCCGAUGUCGGAUUAGCUAGUUGGCGGGGUAAAGGCCCACCAAGGCGACGAUCCGUAGCUGGUCUGAGAGGAUGAUCAGCCACACUGGAACUGAGACACGGUCCAGACUCCUACGGGAGGCAGCAGUGGGGAAUAUUGGACAAUGGGCGCAAGCCUGAUCCAGCCAUACCGCGUGGGUGAAGAAGGCCUGCGGGUUGUAAAGCCCCUUUGUUGGGAAAGAAAAGCAGCAGGUUAAUACCCCGCUGUUCGGACGGUACCCAAAGAAUAAGCACCGGCUAACUUCGG
rnacentral:rRNA from 1 species